ACCCUCUUUUACUGGGUUGUUAUCUCAUACUCACAAAUAUAUCCUACUUACAUGGUUGUUUUUCAAAAUUUCAUAAAUAUAUCCUUGUUAUGGAGUUAUUUUCUUAUACUCACAAAUGUACCCCCUCUUAUGGUAUUAUUUCCUCAUACUAACAAUAUACCCCUGUUACUGGGUUGUUUCGUCAUUCUUACAAAUAUACCCCUUCUACGGGGUUGUUUUCUCAUACUCUAAAAUAUACACUUCUUACUGGGUUAUUUUCUCUUAAUAAAAAACAUACCCCUCUUAGGGUGUUGUUUUCACAUACUCAUAAAUAAAACCUCUCUUAUUGGGGUGUUCUCACAACCUGAAAGAUAUAUCUUUCUUGCAGAGUUGUUUUCUCAUAUUUAUAAAUAUACCCCUCUUAUAGGGUUAUUUUCUAACAUUCAUAAUUAUAUAACUUUUUAUGUCAUUAUUCUCUCAUACUUAUAAAUGUACAUAAAUUGCGAACAUGACUAAUAAAAUUUUGUUUAGCUGGUCCUAGGUUAAGGUGUUGAUCCACAUGCGGUGCACAUGAAUCUGGGCUCACUCUAAUAGGACGCUCUUACUCGAGCCCCAGCGAUUCAAGCAAGGGAAAGCCUGCGAAGUGCAGAUGGGCUGUGAGCCUACUAGAAGGUCGAUCUCCAGGCCUAGACUUGAAAAACUAGAACUAGCAUUGAAAAUACUAAUAAAAAAAUGAGAAAAGAGAAGGUAGAGCAUAACUUACAUCGAUCACAUGCUAGAAGCUACAGAUCCUCUUACUGCCCCAAACAAUAAUGUCCAUUUGGUGAUAUAAGUACGCGAGAGCUGCAAAUCCCCAAUUGUAGGAGGAGACCUGAUCCAAAUCCCACAAUGGGGCUAAAUAAUGGAAGUUCGGUGAAUCUCCUCAAUCACUGAACAAAGUGGUACUAAAGAGGUACACCGAAAAAAGGCUCGGGCCAUCUGAUCCAUCUCUAGAGCGUUUUGAGGAAUAAAGCCCUAGUAGUGAAAGGGGUAUGCUCUAGUAACCAAUGCAGCAUGUGUUCUUGCAUGCUAGCAAGAGCCCGAGUAAAUCAGUAAUGAAGCACUCCCAAACAUCAGAAUGCUGAUUAUGGAUCGCAUCAUCAAAUGGCAUAGGCGUGCUAGUGAAAGUAAUGCCCGUGAUGGGAAUAAAUGAGAGAGGGGAAAGUGCCAGCUCACCAACCAGAGUGCCGAAGGUAUGAGUAGUGUUCAUCCACCUUUUGAGCAAGGCAUAGAUAGAGGUAUGGUAUGUCCUCCUAGUGACUUAAGGAAGUUUAGCUACAAACCCUCGAAAGCCGAUAUUGCCAAUCGUAGCCUGGACAGAGCUAGGGAGCUCAUAAAACCAUUCAUGAGCUCGAUAAAACCUUUUCAAUACAACAUCACCCUGAAAAGCUAGACGCAUAGGUAUUAAACAUAAUUUAUGCAUGAAAAGACUAUAAAUAGGUAAGUAUAUGUCUAUUUGUUGGUUAUUUUGUGCAACAAUGCCAUAAAAAUGUUGUUCUGCCCAUGCAUGGUCAAUUUAGACUAUGUAGAGCCGAUCGGUGUGAGCCACUCGGCAAGCACGGACCCGUUGGCCAGGACCCUUAGCCCCCUAGUGCACGUAUUGGCCGGAGUCGUCCUCAAGUAAACCUCCCUUAGGCGAGCAUCCUCACAGACGUGGGCUCGUUGGCCAAGAACUCUCGCAGCCUAGCGCGCGCAUUGGCUAGAACUCUCGCAGGUGCAGGCCCAUUGGCAGUGGAUCCUCGCAGCUCCAUCGUGCGUUGGGUGUGCCAGCCCGCGAGGGCAAGAAUCCUCUGCUGUGAACCUCUUUUGGUGAGAAAUCAGCUGCAGUGUACCUCUGUUGGCUAGUUUUCAGGCCUGUGCUGCGGCACUUUGCCACCACCACAUUUAAUGCCUCGGGAAGAGUUAUCUUUUCUAUUUAACAGCCCGCCUACCUUGGAAACGACUCAGUCGGAGGUAGGGUCUAGCGGCUGGAAGAGCACCGCACGUCGCAUGGUGUCUGGUGGGCCCCCAGCAGCCCAUGAAAAUCUAGAGGACCGAGUGCUAUCCACGCCCAGUCGUACUCAUAACUAUAUCAAGUUUCUAGGGUUAACAGCCUCUGGUCGAUAGAACAAUGUAGGCAAGGGAAGUCGACAAAAUGGAUCCAUAACCUCGGGAAAAGGAUUGGCUCUAAGGGCUGUGCCCGAGGGUCCCAAUCUUGAACCUGUCGCUUGUCGGCGGACUGCUCGAGCUGCUCUCAAGGCGAGAGUGGGUCGACGCGUGUCGGCCGGGGAACGGACUGGGAACAGCCUCUUCAGAGGCCUUCCCUAGGCGUUGAACAAUCGACUGAGAACUAGUACGGACAAGGGGAAUCUGACUGUUUAAUUAAAACAAAGCAUUGCGCGGAUGCUCACGCAAUGUGAUUUCUGCCCAGUGCUCUGAAUGUCAAAGUGAAGAAAUUCAACCAAGCACGGGUAAACAACGGGAGUAACUAUGACUCUCUUAA
rnacentral:ncRNA from 1 species